AGUGAACGCUGGCGGUAGGCCUAACACAUGCAAGUCGAACGGCAGCACAGUAAGAGCUUGCUCUUAUGGGUGGCGAGUGGCGGACGGGUGAGGAAUACAUCGGAAUCUACUUUUUCGUGGGGGAUAACGUAGGGAAACUUACGCUAAUACCGCAUACGACCUACGGGUGAAAGCAGGGGAUCUUCGGACCUUGCGCGAUUGAGUGAGCCGAUGUCGGAUUAGCUAGUUGGCGGGGUAAAGGCCCACCAAGGCGACGAUCCGUAGCUGGUCUGAGAGGAUGAUCAGCCACACUAGAACUGAGACACGGUCCAGACUCCUACGGGAGGCAGCAGUGGGGAAUAUUGGACAAUGGGCGCAAGCCUGAUCCAGCCAUACCGCGUGGGUGAAGAAGGCCUUCGGGUUGUAAAGCCCUUUUGUUGGGAAAGAAAAGCAGCAGGUUAAUACCCCGCUGUUCUGACGGUACCCAAAGAAUAAGCACCGGCUAACUUCGUG
rnacentral:rRNA from 1 species